rnacentral:rRNA from 1 species
GACGAACGCUGGCGGCGUGCUUAAUACCUGCAAGUCGAGCGAGGUUACUGUUUCGGAUCCCUUCGGGGUGAAGAAGCUUUAACCUAGCGGCGGACGGGUGAGUAACGCGUGGGUAACCUACCCCAAAGUCCGGGAUAACAGCGGGAAACCGCUGCUAAUACCGGAUGCCUUUACCUUGGGGCAUCUUGAGGUAAAGAAAGGCAACGCUUUGGGAUGGGCCCGCGUCCCAUUAGCUAGUUGGUGAGGUAACGGCUCACCAAGGCGACGAUGGGUAGCCGGCCUGAGAGGGUGGACGGCCACACUGGGACUGAGACACGGCCCAGACUCCUACGGGAGGCAGCAGUAGGGAAUAUUGCGCAAUGGACGGAAGUCUGACGCAGCGACGCCGCGUGAGCGAUGAAGGUCUUCGGAUCGUAAAGCUCUGUCCUUGGGGAAGAAGGUCUUCGGACUUGACGGUACCCAAGAAGAAAGCCCCGGCUAACUACGUGCCAGCAGCCGCGGUAAUACGUAGGGGGCGAGCGUUGUCCGGAAUUACUGGCCGUAAAGGGUGC